rnacentral:rRNA from 1 species
CUAUCUUUAGUUACCAUCAUUCAGUUGGGGACUCUAAAGAUACUGCCCCGGUUAACGGGGAGGAAGGUGGGGAUGACGUCAAGUCCUCAUGGCCUUUAUGCCCAGGGCUACACACGUGCUACAAUGGGCUGUACAAAGGGUUGCAAGCCCGCGAGGUGAGCUAAUCCCAGAAAGCAGCUCGUAGUUCGGAUUGGAGUCUGCAACUCGACUCCAUGAAGCUGGAAUCGCUAGUAAUCGUGGAUCAGCAUGCCACGGUGAAUACGUUCCCGGGCCUU